GGAUUAGCUAGUUGGUGAGGUAACGGCUCACCAAGGCCACGAUCCGUAGCUGGUCUGAGAGGAUGAUCAGCCACAUCGGGACUGAGACACGGCCCGAACUCCUACGGGAGGCAGCAGUGGGGAAUAUUGGACAAUGGGGGAAACCCUGAUCCAGCCAUGCCGCGUGUGUGAAGAAGGCCCUCGGGUUGUAAAGCACUUUCAGCGAGGAAGAACGCCUAGCGGUUAAUACCCGCUAGGAAAGACAUCACUCGCAGAAGAAGCACCGGCUAACUCCGUGCCAGCAGCCGCGGUAAUACGGAGGGUGCAAGCGUUAAUCGGAAUUACUGGGCGUAAAGCGCGCGUAGGUGGCUUGAUAAGCCGGUUGUGAAAGCCCCGGGCUCAACCUGGGAACGGCAUCCGGAACUGUCAAGCUAGAGUGCAGGAGAGGAAGGUAGAAUUCCCGGUGUAGCGGUGAAAUGCGUAGAGAUCGGGAGGAAUACCAGUGGCGAAGGCGGCCUUCUGGACUGACACUGACACUGAGGUGCGAAAGCGUGGGUAGCAAACAGGAUUAGAUACCCUGGUAGUCCACGCCGUAAACGAUGUCGACCAGCCGUUGGGUGCCUAGCGCACUUUGUGGCGAAGUUAACGCGAUAAGUCGACCGCCUGGGGAGUACGGCCGCAAGGUUAAAACUCAAAUGAAUUGACGGGGGCCCGCACAAGCGGUGGAGCAUGUGGUUUAAUUCGAUGCAACGCGAAGAACCUUACCUACUCUUGACAUCCUGCGAAUUUGGUAGAGAUACCUUAGUGCCUUCGGGAACGCAGAGACAGGUGCUGCA
rnacentral:rRNA from 1 species